rnacentral:rRNA from 1 species
GACGAACGCUGGCGGCGUGCCUAAUACAUGCAAGUAGAACGCACAGUUUAUACCGUAGCUUGCUACACCAUAGACUGUGAGUUGCGAACGGGUGAGUAACGCGUAGGUAACCUGCCUGGUAGCGGGGGAUAACUAUUGGAAACGAUAGCUAAUACCGCAUAAUAUUAAUUAUUGCAUGAUAAUUAAUUGAAAGGUGCAAUUGCACCACUACCAGAUGGACCUGCGUUGUAUUAGCUAGUAGGUGAGGUAACGGCUCACCUAGGCGACGAUACAUAGCCGACCUGAGAGGGUGAUCGGCCACACUGGGACUGAGCCACGGCCCAGACUCCUACGGGAGGCAGCAGUAGGGAAUCUUCGGCAAUGGACGAAAGUCUGACCGAGCAACGCCGCGUGAGUGAAGAAGGUUUUCGGAUCGUAAAGCUCUGUUGUAAGAGAAGAACGGGUGUGAGAGUGGAAAGUUCACACUGUGACGGUAUCUUACCAGAAAGGGACGGCUAACUACGUG